CCUACGGGCGGCAGCAGUGAGGAAUAUUGGUCAAUGGGCGCUAGCCUGAACCAGCCAAGUAGCGUGAAGGAUGACUGCCCUAUGGGUUGUAAACUUCUUUUAUAUGGGAAUAAAGUGCAGUAUGUAUACUGCUUUGCAUGUACCUUAUGAAUAAGGAUCGGCUAACUCCGUGCCAGCAGCCGCGGUAAUACGGAGGAUUCGAGCGUUAUCCGGAUUUAUUGGGUCUAAAGGGAGCGUAGGCGGGUUGUUAAGUCAGUUGUGAAAGUUUGGGGCUCAACCGUAAAAUUGCAGUUGAUACUGGAAUUCUUGAGUACAGUAGAGGUAGGCGGAAUUCGUGGUGUAGCGGUGAAAUGCGUAGAUAUAUGGAAGAACACCAGUGGCGAAGGCGGCUCUCUGGUCUGUAACUGACGCUGAGGUUCGAAAGCGUGGGUAGCAAACAGGAUUAGAUACCCCAGUAGUC
rnacentral:rRNA from 1 species